rnacentral:rRNA from 1 species
CGGACGAGUGAGUAAUGUCUGGGAAACUGCCCGAUGGAGGGGGAUAACUACUGGAAACGGUAGCUAAUACCGCAUAACGUCGCAAGACCAAAGAGGGGGACCUUCGGGCCUCUUGCCAUCGGAUGUGCCCAGAUGGGAUUAGCUAGUAGGUGGGGUAACGGCUCACCUAGGCGACGAUCCCUAGCUGGUCUGAGAGGAUGACCAGCCACACUGGAACUGAGACACGGCCCAG